rnacentral:rRNA from 1 species
CGCCGCGUGAGUGAUGAAGCUUUCUGGAUAGUAAAACUCUGUUGUUAGGGAAGAACAAUGCAUAGUAACUGAUGGCACCUUGACGGUACCUAACCAGAAAGCCACGGCUAACUACGUGCCAGCAGCCGCGGUAAUACGUAGGUGGCAAGCGUUGUCCGGAAUUAUUGGGCGUAAAGCGCUCGCAGGCGGUUCUUUAAGUCUGAUGUGAAAUCUUACGGCUCAACCGUAAACGUGCAUUGGAAACUGGGGAACUUGAGUGCAGAAGAGGAGAGUGGAAUUCCACGUGUAGCGGUGAAAUGCGUAGAGAUGUGGAGGAACACCAGUGGCGAAGGCGACUCUCUGGUCUGUAACUGACGCUGAUGAGCGAAAGCGUGGGGAGCGAACAGGAUUAGAUACCCUGGUAGUCCACGCCGUAAACGAUGAGUGCUAAGUGUCAGGGGGGUUCCAGACACUUAGUGCUGAAGUAACGCAUUACGCCUCCGCCUGUGGAGUACGGCCGCCAGGCUGAAACUCCAAAGAAUUGACGGUGGCCCCGCACCAAGCGGUGGAGCCAUGUGGGUUAAUUCGAAGGCAUCGCGAAGACACUUACCCAGUCUUGACAUCCUCUGGACAAUUCUAGAGAUCGAGUUUCCCCUUCCGGGGACAG